rnacentral:rRNA from 1 species
UAAGCNGAGGANAAGAAACUAACAAGGAUUCCCCUAGUAUCUGCGAGNGNAGCGGGANAAGCUCANAUNUAAAAUCUGNUGGUCUUUNNCGUCCGAGNGUAAUUUAGAGAAGCGUCUUUCGCGCUGNNCCCGUGCACAAGUCUCCUNGAACGGAGNGUCGUAGAGGGUGAGAAUNCCGUCUUUGGCAUGGACACACCAGGGCUUUUGCGAUGCGCUCUCGAAGAGUCGAGUUGUUUGGGAAUGCAGCUCAAAAUGGGUGGUGANCUCCAUCUAAAGCUAAAUAUUGGCGAGAGACCGAUAGCGAACAAGUNCCGUGAGGGAAAGAUGAAAAGCACUUUGGAAAGAGAGUGAAACAGUACGUGAAAUUGUUGAAAGGGAAACGCUUGAAGUCAGUCGCGUCGUCCGAGACUCAGCCUCGCCUCGGCUUGGCGUACUUCUCGGGCCGACGGGUCAGCAUCAAUUUCGCCUCUCGGAUAAUGGCGAGGGAAAAGUGACACCUUUACGGUGUGUUAUAGUCUCUCGUCGCAUGCGAGGGUCGGGAUUGAGGAACUCAGCACGCGCCCUCGGGCGUCGGGGCUUUUCGCCCACGAUACGUGCUUAGGAUGUUGGCGUAAUGGCUUUAAACGACC